rnacentral:rRNA from 1 species
AUUGAACGCUGGCGGCAGGCCUAACACAUGCAAGUCGAACGAGUGGCGGACGGGUGAGUAAUAUCUGGGAAACUGCCCUAUGGAGGUGGAUAACUACUGGAAAACGUAGCUAAUAACCCAUUCCAUCGGAUGUGCCCAGAUGGGCUUGGCUUGUAGGUGAGGUAACGGCUCACCUAGGCGACCAUCCCUAGCUGGUCUCAGAGGAUGACCAGCCACACUGGAACUGAGACACGGUCCAGACUCCUACGGGAGGCAGCAGUGGGGAAUAUUGCGCAAUGGGCGCAAGCCGGAUGCAGCCAUGCCGCGUGUAUGAAGAAGGCCUUCGGGUUGUAAAGUACUUUCAGCGGGGAGGCGUUACCCGCAGAGGAAGCACCGGCUAACUCCGUGCCAGCAGCCGCGGUAAUUC